AGCGAACGCUGGCGGCAGGCUUAACACAUGCAAGUCGAACGGUCCUUCGGGAUAGUGGCGGACGGGUGAGUAACACGUGGGAACGUACCCUUAGGUUCGGAACAACACAGGGAAACUUGUGCUAAUACCGGAUAGGCCCUUCGGGGGAAAGAUUUAUCGCCUUUGGAGCGGCCCGCGUCUGAUUAGCUUGUUGGUGAGGUAAUGGCCCACCAAGGCUACGAUCAGUAGCUGGUCUGAGAGGAUGGCCAGCCACACUGGGACUGAGACACGGCCCAGACUCCUACGGGAGGCAGCAGUGGGGAAUCUUGCGCAAUGGGCGAAAGCCUGACGCAGCCAUGCCGCGUGGAUGAUGAAGGUCUUAGGAUUGUAAAAUCCUUUCACCGGGGACGAUAAUGACGGUACCCGGAGAAGAAGCCCCGGCUAACUUCGUGCCAGCCGCCGCGGUAA
rnacentral:rRNA from 1 species